UGUGUAUCUGUUUUUAAGUCACUGGUUCUCCGGAUGAAUUAGGCUGUCUGUAGGAGUAACAAUAAAGACCAUGCUGAAAAGA